rnacentral:snRNA from 1 species
GCAGGGGCCGCGCGAACGCGUAUCCCCUCUACCAUAAAUUAUGACGUCCACUCUCCCACUUGGGGAGAUGGUAAGCCAGCGCAUCCACCAAAUGCAAUGUGGACCACUAGCUUAGGCCACAACUCUUCUUGA